AACCAAUGAACUUGUAAAAGUAUUUGCCUUGAAAGUAAAAAAAAGAAGUAAAUCUUCUAUUGGUUU
rnacentral:tRNA from 1 species